GAACUGCUUUCAAAACUGCAUCCCUUGAGUAUCGGAGAGGCAAGCGGAAUUCCUAGUGUAGCGGUGAAAUGCGUAGAUAUUAGGAGGAACACCAGUGGCGAAGGCGGCUUGCUGGACGACAACUGACGCUGAGGCGCGAAAGCGUGGGGAGCAAACAGGAUUAGAUACCCUGGUAGUCCACGCUGUAAACGAUGAAUACUAGGUGUGGGAGGACUGACCCCUUCCGUGCCGCAGUUAACACAAUAAGUAUUCCACCUGGGGAGUACGACCGCAAGGUUGAAACUCAAAGGAAUUGACGGGGGCCCGCACAAGCAGUGGAUUAUGUGGUUUAAUUCGACGCAACGCGAAGAACCUUACCAGGACUUGACAUCCAACUAACGAAGUAGAGAUACAUUAGGUGCCCUUCGGGGAAAGUUGAGACAGGUGGUGCAUGGUUGUCGUCAGCUCGUGUCGUGAGAUGUUGGGUUAAGUCCCGCAACGAGCGCAACCCCUAUUGUUAGUUGCUACGCAAGAGCACUCUAGCGAGACUGCCGUUGACAAAACGGAGGAAGGCGGGGACGACGUCAAAUCAUCAUGCCCCUUAUGUCCUGGGCUACACACGUAAUACAAUGGCCGUCAACAGAGGGAAGCAAAGCCGCGAGGUAGAGCAAAACCCUAAAAACGGUCUCAGUUCGGAUUGCAGGCUGCAACUCGCCUGCAUGAAGCUGGAAUUGCUAGUAAUCGCGGAUCAGCAUGCCGC
rnacentral:rRNA from 1 species